GAUGAACGCUGACAGAAUGCUUAACACAUGCAAGUCUACUUGAAUUUGGGUUUUUAACUUAGGUUUGGGUGGCGGACGGGUGAGUAACGCGUAAAGAACUUGCCUCACAGCUAGGGACAACAUUUAGAAAUGAAUGCUAAUACCUAAUAUUAUGAUAAUAGGGCAUCCUAUAAUUAUGAAAGCUAUAUGCGCUGUGAGAGAGCUUUGCGUCCCAUUAGCUAGUUGGAGAGGUAACGGCUCACCAAGGCGAUGAUGGGUAGCCGGCCUGAGAGGGUGAUCGGCCACAAGGGGACUGAGACACGGCCCUUACUCCUACGGGAGGCAGCAGUGGGGAAUAUUGGACAAUGGACCGAGAGUCUGAUCCAGCAAUUCUGUGUGCACGAUGAAGUUUUUCGGAAUGUAAAGUGCUUUCAGUUGGGAAGAAAGAAAUGACGGUACCAACAAAAGAAGGACGGCUAAAUACGUGCCAGCAGCCGCGGUAAUACGUAUGUCACGAGGUUAUCCGGAUUUAUUGGCGUAAGCGCGUCUAGGUGGUAUAUAAAUCUGAUGUGAGAAAGGAGGGGCCACUCUGUAUUGCGUGGGAAAUAGAGUAGAAGAUGAGCGGAGAGGAGGCGGGAGGAGGGGGUUUU
rnacentral:rRNA from 1 species